rnacentral:rRNA from 1 species
GAAGGCCUUCGGGUUGUAAACCCCUUUCAGCAGGGACGAAGCGAAAGUGACGGUACCUGCAGAAGAAGCGCCGGCUAACUACAUGCCACCAGCCGCGGUAACACGUAGGGCGCAAGCGUUGUCCGGAAUUAUUGGGCGUAAAGAGCUCGUAGGCGGUCUGUUGCGUCCGCUGUGAAAACGCGGGGCUUAACCCUGAGCCUGCAGUGGAUACCGGCAGACUAGAGGUAGGUAGGGGAGAAUGGAAUUCCGGGUGUAGCGGUGAAAUGCGCAGAUAUCGGGAGGAACACCGGUGGCGAAGGCGGUUCUCUGGGCCUUACCUGACGCUGAGGAGCGAAAGCGUGGGGAGCGAACAGGAUUAGAUACCCUGGUAGUCCACGCCGUAAACGUUGGGCGCUAGGUGUGGGAUCCUUCCACGGAUUCCGUGCCGCAACUAACGCAUUAAGCGCCCCGCCUGGGGAGUACG